GUGGGGAAUAUUGGACAAUGGGCGAAAGCCUGAUCCAGCCAUGCCGCGUGUGUGAAGAAGGUCUUCGGAUUGUAAAGCACUUUAAGUUGGGAGGAAGGGCAGUAAGUUAAUGCCUUGCUGUUUUGACGUUACCGACAGAAUAAGCACCGGCUAACUCUGUGCCAGCAGCCGCGGUAAUACAGAGGGUGCAAGCGUUAAUCGGAUUUACUGGGCGUAAAGCGCGCGUAGGUGGCCAAUUAAGUCAAAUGUGAAAUCCCCGAGCUUAACUUGGGAAUUGCAUUCGAUACUGGUUGGCUAGAGUAUGGGAGAGGAUGGUAGAAUUCCAGGUGUAGCGGUGAAAUGCGUAGAGAUCUGGAGGAACAUCAGUGGCGAAGGCGACCACCUGGACUGAUACUGACACUGAGGUGCGAAAGCGUGGGGAGCAAACAGGAUUAGAUACCCUUGUAGUCC
rnacentral:rRNA from 1 species